UAUGACGUAGGUGCCAAUAUACCAACAUAAUAUAGACGGAAUGGCGAAAUAUUACACUUACUAUUCUAUAAUGUUAUGUCAAUACUACUGCACAUCGCAAACACGAUAUUAUUUGUAACUAAAAUAUCAAAUUGACUAAUAAUUAGUAAACUAUUGUAAUAAUAUACCUUACGCGUAUCUUUACGAUAAUAAACACGACAGUGAAUCAAUGACACUAUGACCGCCGUCCACCGUCAAUCGACCCGUGUCUCAAUGUUUGUAAAUAAACCUUAUCGUU